rnacentral:tRNA from 2 species
GGCGGAGUGGCCGAGUGGUUAGGCAGCGGCCUGCAAAGCCGUGUACGCCGGUUCGAAUCCGGUCUCCGCCU